UUCCGGUUGAUCCUGCCGGAGGCUACCGCUAUUGGAAUCUGAUUAAGCCAUGCGAGUUGAAAGGGUUUAGACCCUUAGCGGACGGCUCAGUAACACGUGGAGAACCUGCCCUCAGGUGGGGGAUAAUCCCGGGAAACUGGGAAUAAUACCCCAUAGGUCUCGGCUGCUGGAAUGCUUCGAGGCCGAAAGCUACGGCGCCUGAGGAUGGCUCUGCGGCCUAUCAGGUAGUAGUGAGGGUAACGUCCUCACUAGCCGAUGACGGGUACGGGCGUUGAAAGACGGAGCCCGGAGAUGGACUCUGAGACACGAGUCCAGGCCCUACGGGGCGCAGCAGGCGCGAAACCUUCGCAAUGCUCGAAAGAGUGACGAGGGGAUUCCAAGUGCCUACGCUCAGCGUAGGCUGUUCAGAUGCCUAAAAAGCAUCUGGAGGAAGGACUGGGUAAGACGGGUGCCAGCCGCCGCGGUAAUACCCGCAGUCCGAGUGGUAGUCGAUUUUAUUGGGCCUAAAGCGUCCGUAGCCGGUCUGGAAAAUGCCUGGGUAAAUCGUCUGGCUCAACCAAACGAAUUCCGGGUAGACUACCAGACUUGGGACCGGUUGAGGGAGAGGGUACUUCAGGGGUAGGAGUGAAAUCCUGUAAUCCCUGAAGGACCACCGGUGGCGAAGGCGCUCUCCCAGAACGGGUCCGACGGUGAGGGACGAAAGCCAGGGGAGCAAACCGGAUUAGAUACCCGGGUAGUCCUGGCCGUAAACGAUGCGGGCUUUGCAUUGGGGGUCCUACGAGGGCGCUCAGUGCCGAAGCGAAGGCGUUAAGCCCGCCGCCUGGGAAGUAUGGUCGCAAGGCUGAAACUUAAAGGAAUUGGCGGGGGAGCACCGCAAUGGGAGGAGCGUGCGGUUUAAUUGGAUUCAACGCCGGAAAACUCACCGGGGGCGACUGUCACAUGUGGGUCAGGCUGAAGACCUUACCCGAAUAAAAGACAGAGAGGUGGUGCAUGGCC
rnacentral:rRNA from 1 species